UAGGAUGGGGGCACCCUGACCGCAAUGCCGCGUGAGUGAAGAAGGCCUUCGGGUUGUAGAGCUCUUUUGUCAGGGAAGAAACACCGGCUCUAACACAGUCCGGGAAUGACGGUACCUGAAGAAUAAGCACCGGCUAACUACGUGCCAGCAGCCGCGGUAAUACGUAGGGUGCAAGCGUUAAUCGGAAUUACUGGGCGUAAAGCGUGCGCAGGCGGUUAUACAAGACAGGCGUGAAAUCCCCGGGCUUAACCUGGGAAUGGCGCCUGUGACUGUAUAGCUAGAGUGUGUCAGAGGGGGGUAGAAUUCCACGUGUAGCAGUGAAAUGCGUAGAUAUGUGGAGGAAUACCAAUGGCGAAGGCAGCCCCCUGGGAUAACACUGACGCUCAUGCACGAAA
rnacentral:rRNA from 1 species